rnacentral:rRNA from 1 species
UACGUAGGUGGCAAGCGUUAUCCGGAUUUACUGGGCGUAAAGGGAGCGUAGGCGGAUGAUUAAGUGGGAUGUGAAAUACCCGGGCUCAACUUGGGUGCUGCAUUCCAAACUGGUUAUCUAGAGUGCAGGAGAGGAGAGUGGAAUUCCUAGUGUAGCGGUGAAAUGCGUAGAGAUUAGGAAGAACACCAGUGGCGAAGGCGACUCUCUGGACUGUAACUGACGCUGAGGCUCGAAAGCGUGGGGAGCAAACAGG